UACAAAGGGCAGCGAAACAGCGAUGUGGAGCCAAUCCCAAAAAGCCGUCCACAGUUCGGAUUGGAGUCUGCAACUCGACUCCAUGAAGUUGGAAUCGCUAGUAAUCGCGGAUCAGCAUGCCGCGGUGAAUACGUUCCCGGGCCUUGUACACACCGCCCGUCACACCACGAAAGUUGGCUGUACCAGAAGUGCGUGGGCUAACCCCUCGGGGAGGCAGCGUACCAAGGUGUGGUCGGUAAUUGGGGUGAAGUCGUAACAAGGUAGCCGUAA
rnacentral:rRNA from 1 species